GAUGAAGAACGCAGCGAAAUGCGAUACGUAGUGUGAAUUGCAGAAUUCAGUGAAUCAUCGAAUCUUUGAACGCACAUUGCACCUCUCGGUAUUCCGGGAGGUAUGCCUGUUCGAGCGUCAUUUGUACCCUCAAGCUCUGCUUGGUGUUGGGUGUUUGUUCCGCCUCUGUGUGUGAACUCGCCUCAAAACAAUUGGCAGCCGGCGUACUUGUUUCGGAGCGCAGCACAUUUUGCGAUCCAGAUCAACGUACAGCGGCAUCCAAGAAGCCUUAUUUAACGCUCUUGACCUCGGAUCAGGUAGGGAUACCCGCUGAACUUAAGCAUAUGAAUAAGCGGAGGA
rnacentral:misc_RNA from 1 species